AUCAAACUGCUCACUGACCCUGUGUGAAGAGAAUCGUUGCCCUAGUGGGCUAGGACCAUGAACAGCCAUGGUGAUGCUGAAAUAUCCAUGUUCUGGCAACUGAGUGGUUGAAACAAAUGGAACAAAUUACACAAGCUGUCAAAGAAGACUCAAUGUCCAUUCAACUAGGGAAAGAUGGUGGUUUCUUGCUGUCAGUAAUUGUAAGGGUGGAGGAAUAACUGUGGAAUAUAAAAUUACAAUGUCUAAUGGGAAAAAUUUGUGGAGAAGACAUUUUUCUGCCAAUGAGAUCGG